rnacentral:lncRNA from 1 species
UUUUGAGUAGGCAACAGCAGCAACACUUGGGCGUGUAAUGAGGAUCGGGUUUGGGAACUGAACUGGUGGUGUGUGAUGAGCAGCUAUCCCACUUGCAGCAGUAGCAGCGGCAGAGGUGGGAAGCUUCUCAGUUGCCAUUCAACAUUUUAAAGCACAAGCCGCUCUGCCGUGAAAGCGCCUGAUCUACACUUCUCUGAGAGGCACAGGAGGGAAUACACAAUUGCAGAUUUCACCCACCGUGGCGGUGCAGAUCACAAGAAACAACUGACUGAUCUGAUUUUAUUUGCAAAUAGACUGGGGUUUGUUGGUUUUUCUUUUUCUUUUUUUUUUUUUUUUUUUUUUUUAACCGCGUCGCGGCUCUUCCCCCCUCCCCUUUGCCAUUCCGCUUCUAUGGAUGCAAUUCAGAAUCUGUGUUAAUUCACGUGGGGGAUCCAGUUACAUCUUGUUCCGCUCCGGGUGUAUUUACGAGAGACCAGUAAUCGCCUUUGGACACAUAGUUUUGUUGCUAACCUUUGAACUGAAAGGAUCAAGUUCAGAUCUGGUUACCUGCAUUGGGACGGGAAGGAAGAGGAGAGAGAGAAAGGGGGAGAGAGAGACUGCAAUCUCAUUUGUGAAUCGCUCUCAGUGCUGCAGAUCCAGAUUGCUAUAACACAUGCAGUGCAAAUGCAGGUAAGGCACACACACAAACUGCGGAUGCAAAACCAAACUUGGGACUGUUGUGUGUAUAUAUUAAUAUCUACAGCCUUGCAAAUUCUGGGCAAACGGCUUCUGCAGUUUCUGUAUCGUUGCUUUGUGACUAAUGACCUUGCGCAGAGUUGUUAAAAAAAAUCCGCUCCGGAGAAAGAGCUGAACAUUUUAGGCGAUCUCUGAAGAUGGAUUUGGGUGCUUUUCUGCCAACCGAAGGGGAUAUUCUGUGGACUGCUCUGUAAUACACGGGUUUCUUCUCCUGUGCAGCUACCGACAUUAUUGGGAUUUUUUCUUUAUAUUUUUUAUUUUAUUUUAUUUUUUAAGAACUGCCUAUUGCUAGGAGGAUUUGGAGUUUUCCCGGACACAAGCCCUUUGAAUAAAGAGAAUCACAUUUUUUUUUUUUCCUGUGUGUGCAGAGCGGGGGAAGAAUAAAGCUAAUGCCUUGGUCGUAAACGGCUGAGAGAGAGAGAAAAGAGAGAGAGCGUGUGAAUAGCAGUUAACUCUAGUGUCGAAGAAGACGACCUGGGGGGCUUCGAAUCGUAUAGUGCUGCUCCAGCUUUUAUUGCAAACCUUGCAAAGCGAUUACAGUAAAAUCAGAGAGGAGGAGGAGAAGGGAGAGGAGGAGGAAAAUCCCAUCCUAUCUACCGAGGUGAAUCUUUAAAAAGCAAAAUACACUGUCCCGUGAACUGUAAGUAUAUCGCAACUGGAAGGCAGGGAGAGCAGGAGAGGAGCCAGCAGCAGGGUUUUGACUA